rnacentral:rRNA from 1 species
GAUCUGGGCGACGCCCAGGAGCGAAGGCGACGUUCUGAGCUCACACUCGCGCUGAUACGGUCUAGUGAGGGGCUCUUAUAGGCUUAGGACGCCGGGUACUACACGCCGUAUACGAUGAGUGCUAAGUGUUAGGGGGUUUCCGCCCCUUAGUGCUGCAGCUAACGCAUUAAGCACUCCGCCUGGGGAGUACGACCGCAAGGUUGAAACUCAAAGGAAUUGACGGGGACCCGCACAAGCGGUGGUGCAUGUGGUUUAAUUCGAAGCAACGCGAAGAACCUUACCAAAUCUUGACAUCCUUUGACAACUCUAGAGAUAGAGCCUUCCCCUUCGGGGGACAAAGUGACAGGUGGUGCAUGGUUGUCGUCAGCUCGUGUCGUGAGAUGUUGGGUUAAGUCCCGCA